CCAACCAUUCCUGAGGUGGGAGCAGUUUCAAGGAUGCAGCCUUGAGAAGGUUGAGGCCUUCGGGACCUGGAUCUGUGGCAGAAUCCUGUCAAGGGUACUGCGUGAACCUUUAAGAUGCUGGCGGCAGCCACGGAGAUCUGCUCGUCUGGCGGCCGCCUACGACAAGCCUCAUAAGUGCCAAACUGACCAGCCUCAGAGAAGUAUCCGAGCAAGUCAGAGCAAUCUGAUUCCAUUUUGCUUCUGGUUGGAGCACUGGAACUCAGCUACUCAGUUCUACUCAGGCAGACAGAAAAGAGUGUACCGACUGCCAUUGUCUCCCAUGAGCUCAAAUUGAGAUGGAAUAAGUGCUCUCUCUUAAACUGUCACAGUGAUUUCUGGCAAUUUAAUGUUGUGUUACGCAGCAUGGAGAUAAUCACCAAUAGAGUACAGAUCCUUGCAGGCAUCAGGGUUCCAUCAUCUGGAUGAUGGAUUCACACCUGUGUGCACAACCACUGAACUGGACUGACAUCCCAUGACCAGUAAGGAUGAGGCAGCAAAGCCUAGUAUGGGACCUUCUGAAGAAGGCGGGCAGGCAGGAAGGAAGGAAAGAAGGGAGAG